UCCUAAUCUAUGGGAUUUAUCAUAAUCAUAUAAAUAUGAUACAGUAAACAAUAAAAUAUAAUAUAUCAUAAAUAAAAAUAACUAAUGUCAUGCAAAUGAGUAGAAAGAUAAUAAAGAAAAAUCCCAUCGCAUCUCUAUAUGAUUGGCUUGUAGGGCACUAUUCUUUCAACACAUCGAUAUGUACCAGAGCUAGCAAGCUAAUGGCCCUUUCUCCUUAUGCCACAAAGGGUAACCUAACCAUUCUUCCUUGAAGGCAUGAUUCACAGGCCAGAAUCGACUCGGAUUUAACUAAGGAUCUCAUCUUUUUUCAGUUUGUUUAUCUUGUUCUCUCCAAUAUGGCCAAGCC
rnacentral:lncRNA from 1 species